CUCAGAUGUGGCCCUGAAUGAGGAGCUCUGUUUUGGAAGAAUGCGCUUUCAUCGGUAUUGCUGCCUGGAGUUUCGAGAAUUCGUUUCAUGGUAUCUCUCCGACAUCCUCCUCUCCAUUUAAAAGGAAAUCCAUUGCUUCCUUUUAGUUGGUGUCACCGCUUGCCCCCGAUCCCCACAUCCUGGGCUUGUAUUUCUAGUGUUUUCAGCAGAAGAGGAACUGAAGGCAUCUUUUGAUUCAGGAAUCAACAAGACUUUCUUACACACACAGCGUGACCAUAAGUGGAGAGAGAAAUGUGCCAGAGUAAAGACAGCCAUACAUACUUGACACUUCUCCCAUUAAAAAGUGGAGUCUAUUUCCUUCCACUUGAAUCUGCACUGACCUGAGACUGCUUGGACCCAUAGGAAAUGGCAGAUAUGACAUAUGGCCAGUCCCAGGCUUUGCCUUGGAGAGACCUAGAAACUUCUACCAUAGUCUCUUGAAGCUUCGAGGUGGCAGGAAAUAAAUCCAACCAGCUACCUGGCCGGAGAAAUCAGCAGGAAAGGCCCCAAGAAUAUGUGAAGAAGGAGAUGGGCCUGGUAGAGCCCAGGCUUCCAACCAACUGACAAGACUCCAGGCAUGGUAAUAAAACCAUCUCGAUACUUCUAGCAGCAGCAGCAGCAGCAACCAACAGAACAUCACUAAGUGACCCCAGUUGUGCCAUCUGCCCCAGUUCCUGCUGCACAAAACCAUGAUAUAAAGAAGUGGGUUAUUUUACAUCAGUAAGUAUUGGGUUAGUUUUAUACUCAGUAAUAAAUCAAGGGAGCAUUUUACAACAGUUUCCCAGAAGAUGGGCACAAUAGUGGCCCCACAGGGUGGGGUGAGAAGAGUUGCUGAAGCCUUAGCAUGAGACUCUCCCAGAAAUCCCUUUUUUUUGAUUUUCAGAAAGCCCUGAUGCUACAGUAAUAAUAGCUAAUAUUUCUUAAUUGCUAUAAAUAUGGC
rnacentral:lncRNA from 10 species